CACCGAUUCCAGUAUGAUCACCGAAGUUAAGCAAUGUCAAGCAUGGUCAGUACCUAGAUGUGUGACCGAUUGGGAAUACCAGUUGCUGUAA